AGUGAACGCUGGCGGCGUGCUUAACACAUGCAAGUCGAACGAGAACGGAUUAAAGCUUGCUUUAAUUGUCAGCUAAGUGGCGCACGGGUGAGUAAUAUAUAGUUAACCUGCCCUAGAGAAGAGGAUAACAUUUGGAAACGGAUGCUAAGACUCUAUAUGCCUUUAAUACAUAAGUAUGCAAGGGAAAUAUUUAUAGCUCUAGGAUGGGACUGUACGGUAUCAGCUAGUUGGUGAGGUAAGAGCUCACCAAGGCGAUGACACCUAACUGGUUUGAGAGGAUGAUCAGUCACACUGGAACUGAGACACGGUCCAGACUCCUACGGGAGGCAGCAGUGGGGAAUAUUGCACAAUGGACGGAAGUCUGAUGCAGCAACGCCGCGUGGAGGAUGACACAUUUCGGUGCGUAAACUCCUUUUAUAUAGGAAGAUAAUGACGGUACUAUAUGAAUAAGCGCCGGCUAACUCCG
rnacentral:rRNA from 1 species